rnacentral:rRNA from 1 species
UACGUAGGUGGCAAGCGUUGUCCGGAUUUAUUGGGUUUAAAGGGUGCGUAGGUGGUCUAUUAAGUCAGUGCUGAAAUAUCCCGGCUUAACUGGGAGGGUGGCAUUGAUACUGAUGGACUUGAGUAAAGUUGAGGUGGGCGGAAUUGACGGUGUAGCGGUGAAAUGCUUAGAUAUCGUCAAGAACACCUAUUGCGAAGGCAGCUCACUAAGCUUUAACUGACACUGAGGCACGAAAGUGUGGGGAUCAAACAGG